UACUGAGAUGGCCUCCAAAGCCUGAUGUGAUCACAGGUGUCUAUGGGGAGCUGACUGGAUCGUGAAGCGUGACAAUCACCAAUGAACUGGUCCACUGAUGUUACAGUAUCGAAGGAAAUUGAGAAUCGAGCACAAACUUCCCAGUUCCAUUAAGGAUAUGAAAGGAUAAGAAUGAGAAGCCAUGGUGCAUCUCGGUGGUGAGCAACUGAGGUUUGGGAUAUCAGGAAAUCUAGGAAGAAAAUGGUGUCUUACAGGGUGUGAGGUGGACGACUGGCCAGAGUUUCACUUUCCAUAGCACUUCCUGGAUGGAUUGUACUAGCCACACAAGCGGAAAACUGCGG